AUUGAAUGUACUCCAGCUAGCUGCAUCCUUCUCUGCAACACUUCUCGUCGUAUCGAUAACAGUGCCGAUGCAAACCUUAGCUUUGCAACCUUCACAUUCGUUAUAGAGGCAAACAAAACAGCACUAGGUGGAAAAGGAGCAGCGAACUCCCAACCAACCCACGUUCGCAUUAUCACUCCUUACUUAUGUUUUACGAAUUUAGUCGCGCAAUUUGUUAAAGAUACGUUUACAAGCUUUAAACUUCUCGCUUAUGGCGACUCUAUUUUUCAAAGGCUCAAUGACGAAAAUAUUCGGCAAACGUCGUGGAUGCAUGUCGUUGUCCAAUCCCGUUUUCCUUUCCGACCCUCUGUUACGAAGCGAUAGUAGAUAGCAGGUUUUUCCGAAAA